GAUAAACGCUGGCGGCGUGCCUUAUGCAUGCAAGUCGUACGUGAGACCGGCUUCGGCCGGUUGAAAGUGGCGAACGGGUGAGUAACACGUAGGAACCUGCCCGGAAGUGGGGGAUAACUCCGCGAAAGCGGGGCUAAUACCGCAUGUGUCGCAAGACCAAAGCUUCGGCGCUUCCGGAGGGGCCUGCGGCGGAUUAGCUAGUUGGUGGGGUAACGGCCUACCAAGGCGACGAUCCGUAGCUGGUCUGAGAGGAUGGUCAGCCACACUGGAACUGAGACACGGUCCAGACUCCUACGGGAGGCAGCAGCAAGGAAUUUUGCGCAAUGGGCGAAAGCCUGACGCAGCAACGCCGCGUGGGGGAAGAAGGCCUUCGGGUUGUAAACCCCUUUUGCGAGGGAAGAAGAUCUGACGGUACCUCGCGAAUAAGCCACGGCUAACUACGUGCCAGCAGCCGCAGUAA
rnacentral:rRNA from 1 species